UACGAAGGGGGCUAGCGUUGCUCGGAAUCACUGGGCGUAAAGCGCACGUAGGCGGCUUUGUAAGUUAGAGGUGAAAGCCUGGAGCUCAACUCCAGAACUGCCUUUAAAACUGCAUCGCUUGAAUCCAGGAGAGGUGAGUGGGAUUCCGAGUGUAGAGGUGAAAUUCGUAGAUAUUCGGAAGAACACCAGUGGCGAAGGCGGCUCACUGGACUGGUAUUGACGCUGAGGUGCGAAAGCGUGGGGAGCAAACAGG
rnacentral:rRNA from 1 species